rnacentral:snoRNA from 1 species
UUUUCAGUAGUGUGAUACAUGAGGGGCAAGUUUUUCACUAACACUUUAUUCUGACCCAAUGAGUGGAGUUUGAUAGUAAUCCUUCCUACAAAU